GUGCUUGGAUGAGCUUGUGAAGAUUGUUAAAUGUAACCUGCUCUUUGGGAACAUUAUUCUCCCUGUUUUCUACGAUGUAAGCCCUAACCAUGUUGCUAAGCAAACAGGUCCUUACAAGAAAAUCUUUCGCAAGUAUGAAGACAAGUACAAGAACAAUAAGCAGAGGGUUGAAAAGUGGAAGGCUGCUCUUAAAACAGUUGCAGAAAUAAGCGGAUGGGACAUGCCAAAUUACAGAUCUGAAGCAAAGUUAAUUAGAAUAAUUGCAAAUAAGGUAUUACGUAAACUGACUAAGGCAUCCCCAAGUGUUAACAAGCAGCUAGUCCAAUUGAAUUCUAAAGUAAAGGAACUGAAUCUUCAGUUAUGUGAAGAGUGGGAGAAAGGCAAUAUAAAAUUUUGUGGUUUGAAAUGGAGUAGAAGGAUAUGGCCGGAUAGUGCUAUGGAAACCAAUCUGAAAAAGAAAAGGUUGCAAAACAAACAAGUAGAUGUAAUUGUUAAUGAAGUGGAGAAACUAGAACAACUAGUAUAUUUUGCUAGAGAGCAAGACUGGUUUGGCCCUGGAAGUAGAGUCAUCAUAUCAUUUGGCGAUCCGAUUGAAAAUAACAUGAAAGUACUUCAUAUAAAUUUUCAGGGUCCGACCAACAGAGAUAAGAAAAUAUUCCUAGAUAUUGUAUGUUUUUUCGAGGGGAUGCACAAUAUUGAAAAUGCAAUGAGAACUUGGAAUAAAUUACUAUUGGGUAGUGGUCUCCUAGUAAACGUCGGGAUGAAGGUUCACAUGGAUGAAUUUACAAUUUCUGAUGAUGACAAUCUAUUGCUACAUGAGCAUAGAACACUCAACAUUUUGGUAAGCUAGCUCCAACCUAAAGCUCGGAUCUUUGUCCUUUUUAUUGCUGUAAGGUGGCUUCAUGAGAAAUUUUAGAAUAACGUCUUUAUUAUAACCAUUGAUUCUGAUGGGUUUUAUGAAAGUUCCAUUAUAAUUAAUGGUUUAUACAUACGAUGAUUGAAUGAAAUAAUUUGAGAGUUGAAUUUUUUCAUUCCACUAACACAUUUUGUGUUUAAUUGUAGGAAAUAGAUUAUGAAGUGUCCCCUGAAAAGACGAAGCCCAGCAGAGCCGCAAGCAAGAUGGAAGGUACUACACCGAAAGAAGAUUUUCCCCAACAGGAAAUAGAGAAGGUUCCUCCAUCUCUCAUGGAAAAGCAAGAAGAAUUAAAGCCAAACGGGUUUUUUAAGACUCCAAAAGUUGAACUUUUUCAUGAAGAAGAAGUUCACAAUGAAGCAACAAUGGCGAAACCAGCUGUUGCUGCAAUGGAGCUUCCUGCACACGCUGAAGAAGAUAAAGAAGAAGCCACACCUCUAUCCAAUGGCCCAAAAGCCCCAACGGUAAACCCCUUGUGAUCGUCUCAUCCAUUUUAAGUCUUCAAUUUUCCAUUAUGAACUUUUAGUCUAAUAUUACAUUCGCUUCCAGGUACCAUCUGGAAAUGAAAUUUCAGGAUACAGACCUAGCCCUGAAUCUUUGCAGCAGCAGAAACAAACAUUAGAAAAAUACUUAAACAUGUCAUUAGAAGCUAUCCAUAAAGCUGAAGCGUUUAACGACAUUGAAAAAAUUGUCAGCACCUUGACUCAUCAUUCUGCUAAUUUAUACGAGAAAGCAAGCCUGCUAAAGCUUAUGCAUCGUUUAGCAGAAUUCAAAGGGAGUGUUCCUGGCUCUAUGGCCAUUGCAAAGAGUACCCAAGCUCAAAGAACAUCUCUUUUCAAGAAGUCUAGAAAGCUGAACAACAGUCUAGCUCAACAACAAGAAAAGCUCCGUUCUACAGAGGCUGAGCUUUCCAAGAUAUCUAAAGAGGAGGAAGAACUAGAGAUCAAAAUUCAGAACUUGAUUUCCAGUAAAGAAAAGCUGCUAGAGCAUAAGAAGUUCACUGCACUUCAAUUGGAAAACACCAAUAAAAUGGUAUCCAAUAAUCUAGCAGAACAGAAGGAGCUGGAGGGGGAAAUCAAGCAAGCAAAUGAAAACUGGUAUAAGGCAAAAGAAAAGCUAGCGUUGGCCAAUGCAAUCUGGAAAUUGUUCAAAGAAUGCAUCGAGUUAUAAGUUGAACAAGUAUCUUCACUUGAGCAAAUAUGGUUUCCUUUUAGUUGUAGUCUGUUUCUUUUCAUUGGGUUGCUGUACUAAGUAAUAAUUAAGUACCUAUUGCAAAAA
rnacentral:misc_RNA from 1 species